rnacentral:rRNA from 1 species
UACUAGAGUAGCACUCGCAUAUCAAUAAGCGGAGGAAAAGAAACUAACAAGGAUUCCCCUAGUAACGGCGAGUGAAGCGGGAAGAGCUCAAAUUUGAAAUCUUAAAGGGUUUCCCUUUACGAAUUGUAGUUUAAAGAAGUGUUUUCUGUUGAAGUUUUGGUAAAAGUUCUUUGGAAUAGGACAUCAUAGAGGGUGAGAAUCCCGUAUUUGACCUUUACUUUCAACUUUGUGAUACACUUUCAAAGAGUCGGAUUGUUUGGGAAUGCAGUCCAAAAUGGGUGGUAAAUUUCAUCUAAAGCUAAAUAUUGGCGAGAGACCGAUAGCGAACAAGUACCGUGAGGGAAAGAUGAAAAGAACUUUGAAAAGAGAGUUAAACAGUACGUGAAAUUGUCAAAAGGGAAGCGUUUGACACCAGUGUUGUUUUUCUGAAAAUCAAUUAAAGAACUGUUUAUGCUAGGCUGUUUAGACUUUAUCAGCUAUCUGUUUAGUUUUAGGCUUUUCUUUAAUGCACUUUUCAGUUAACAAGUCAACAUCAAUUUCUUUUGCUGUAAAAAAGCUUGAGGAAGGUGGCUUGAGAUUCGUCUUAAGUGUUUAUAGCCUCUUGCCUAUGCAGUCGGAGAGAUUGAGGUCUGCAGCGUAGAUCCUUCGGGGCUAAAUGCAUUUGUGCUAAGUUAUAGCAUUUUAUAGACAACUUGUUGACUAUGAUUUGUCUUGUAGCUUGCUCGCUUAUGUUAUUUUACCUACGCUUAGGAUGUUGAGCGCAUGUCUCUCUCU